rnacentral:rRNA from 1 species
AGCAGUCGCCACGGGAAUACGUAGGUGGCAAGCGUUGUCCGGAAUUAUUGGGCGUAAAGGGCUCGCAGGCGGUUUCUUAAGUCUGAUGUGAGAGCCCCCGGCUCAACCGGGGAGGGUCAUUGGAAACUGGGAAACUUGAGUGCAGAAGAGGAGAGUGGAAUUCCACGUGUAGCGGUGAAAUGCGUAGAGAUGUGGAGGAACACCAGUGGCGAAGGCGACUCUCUGGUCUGUAACUGACGCUGAGGAGCGAAAGCGUGGGGAGCGAACAGGAUUAGAUACCCCCGUAGUCCCUGUCUCUUAUAC